rnacentral:rRNA from 1 species
UACGAAGGUCCCAAGCGUUAUCCGGAUUUAUUGGGCUUAAAGGGUGCGUAGGCGGCUUAUUAAGUCAGUGGUGAAAGCCCCAAGCUUAACUUGGGAAUUGCCAUUGAUACUGAUGAGCUUGAGUAGAUUUGAGGCGGGCGGAAUGUGUCGUGUAGCGGUGAAAUGCUUAGAUAUGACACAGAACACCGAUUGCGUAGGCAGCUCGCUAAACUCUUACUGACGCUGAGGCACGAAAGCAUGGGGAUCAAACAGG